rnacentral:rRNA from 1 species
UGGGGAAUAUUGGACAAUGGGGGAAACCCUGAUCCAGCCAUGCCGCGUGUGUGAAGAAGGCCUUAUGGUUGUAAAGCACUUUAAGCGAGGAGGAGGCUACUGAGACUAAUACUCUUGGAUAGUGGACGUUACUCGCAGAAUAAGCACCGGCUAACUCUGUGCCAGCAGCCGCGGUAAUACAGAGGGUGCGAGCGUUAAUAGGAUUUACUGGGCGUAAAGCGUGCGUAGGCGGCUUUUAAGUCGGAUGUGAAAUCCCCGAGCUUAACUUGGGAAUUGCAUUCGAUACUGGGAAGCUAGAGUAUGGGAGAGGAUGGUGGAAUUCCAGGUGUAGCGGUGAAAUGCGUAGAGAUCUGGAGGAAUACCGAUGGCGAAGGCAGCCAUCUGGCCUAAUACUGACGCUGAGGUACGAAAGCAU